UCGUAACAAGGUUUCCGUAGGUGAACCUGCGGAAGGAUCAUUACCGAGUGCGGGUCUUUAUGGCCCAACCUCCCACCCGUGACUAUUGUACCUUGUUGCUUCGGCGGGCCCGCCAGCGUUGCUGGCCGCCGGGGGGCGACUCGCCCCCGGGCCCGUGCCCGCCGGAGACCCCAACAUGAACCCUGUUCUGAAAGCUUGCAGUCUGAGUGUGAUUCUUUGCAAUCAGUUAAAACUUUCAACAAUGGAUCUCUUGGUUCCGGCAUCGAUGAAGAACGCAGCGAAAUGCGAUAACUAAUGUGAAUUGCAGAAUUCAGUGAAUCAUCGAGUCUUUGAACGCACAUUGCGCCCCCUGGUAUUCCGGGGGGCAUGCCUGUCCGAGCGUCAUUGCUGCCCUCAAGCCCGGCUUGUGUGUUGGGCCCUCGUCCCCCGGCUCCCGGGGGACGGGCCCGAAAGGCAGCGGCGGCACCGCGUCCGGUCCUCGAGCGUAUGGGGCUUCGUCUUCCGCUCCGUAGGCCCGGCCGGCGCCCGCCGACGCAUUUAUUUGCAACUUGUUUUUUUCCAGGUUGACCUCGGAUCAGGUAGGGAUACCCGCUGAACUUAAGCAUAUCAAUAA
rnacentral:misc_RNA from 2 species